GACGAACGCUGGCGGCGUGCCUAAUACAUGCAAGUUGAGCGCUGAAGGUUGGUACUUGUACCAACUGGAUGAGCAGCGAACGGGUGAGUAACGCGUGGGGAAUCUGCCUUUGAGCGGGGGACAACAUUUGGAAACGAAUGCUAAUACCGCAUAAAAACUUUAAACACAAGUUUUAAGUUUGAAAGAUGCAAUUGCAUCACUCAAAGAUGAUCCCGCGUUGUAUUAGCUAGUUGGUGAGGUAAAGGCUCACCAAGGCGAUGAUACAUAGCCGACCUGAGAGGGUGAUCGGCCACAUUGGGACUGAGACACGGCCCAAACUCCUACGGGAGGCACCAGUAGGGAAUCUUCGGCAAUAGACGAAAGUCUGACCGAGCAACGCCGCGUGAGGGAAGAAGGUUUUCGGAUCGUAAAACUCUGUUGGUAGAGAAGAACGUUGGUGAGAGUGGAAAGCCCAUCAAGUGACGGUAACUACCCAGAAAGGGACGGCUAACUACGUG
rnacentral:rRNA from 1 species